rnacentral:rRNA from 1 species
UACGUAGGGGGCUAGCGUUGUCCGGAAUCAUUGGGCGUAAGAGCGUGUAGGCGGCCCGAUAAGUCCGCUGUGAAAGUCGGGGGGCUCAACCCUCGAAUGCCGGUGGAUACUGUCGGGCUAGAGUCCGGAAGAGGCGAGUGGAAUUCCUGGUGUAGCGGUGAAAUGCGCAGAUAUCAGGAGGAACACCAAUGGCGAAGGCAGCUCGCUGGGACCGGUACUGA